AGCGCAGGAAUGGAGUCUGGAGUAUGCACAGACUCACUCCCAUAAGAAAACACAGGCCCAGUGCCAAAUGGCUCCACCCAAAUAUCUGAGAUGUUACUAAUUUGAUAAGAGCCCUUUUCCUGUUUUUGACUAGUGUGUGCAGUUGCUCAAGUUAUCUGCGCUCAGUUCUCACAAAAAGCACUCCUAGUGACACGGAGCAUGUCUGCAGGGCAAAAAUGAACGGGUAAUCGCAGCACAGACACAUGAAGUUGAGAUCGCACCAGAACCUGGCAUUUUAGGACAACUGAAUGCAGUCAUCUGGUCAGCUGCGCUCCUAAGUUAGAAGUAUUGAUCUUCAUGAUUUGAGAACAGCCAGUGUUUCCGGCCUCUGCUGCCCACCCGCAGCAGAAUUAGCGUGUUACACCCUUGAGAGUGGGGAACAGCAGCGCGGAACGAUGCGACAGCUACUGCCCAGCAAGACAGCUAGGAAGACGCGUGCACGCUUUGUUUCAAAGUCUCAUGUUGUUAAGCCCUCGGAAUUUGUCUUACUCGAAGACCACGCAGCCUGGAGGGAUUCUCGAUACUGAGAGUGCGAGGGGGCCCGGGCCGGAGCGGUAGCGCUGUGAGGUGAGGGAGCGCAGCCCUGAGACCUGCUGGGGGAGACGGCCCCGCUGCGCGAGGGGAGACGCCACGCCGUGUCCCGACCAGCAGAACUGGCGUGUUCACCAAGGCCCACUUGGCAGGGAGGCAGAGCAGAAGAAAAUUCAGCUGUUUCAGUGCUAAACCGUGUGGAGUUUUUCCACUAUGCUGGAGAGAACUCCAGACAGCCUUUUCUGCCUGUGUUACGUAAGGAAGCUGGAUUACAGCUGGGGAUCUGUCCCUAUAUUUUUAAGUGACUGAUGCUCAAGGAUAGAAAAAACUUUUUUUUUUUCUUUUUUUUUUUUCUUUUUGUAAAUUUAGAAAUGAAUUAGCCUAGUACUUGCUGUUCUCAUUUUCUAUUGCUAUCAGUGGGAGAGAGAUUUCUUAGCACCUCAAAGGGCCUGGAAACUCAACUCGAAGUUCAACAAAAACCGUAGUUUUGAGGAAGAUGCGACAUAAAACUGCAGGUCACAUUGUGCUGCUGGAUUUAAUGUAAAGCUCUUCGUUAAAGAGAAUCAAAGAAAAAUGACAGGAUACAUUACUCUCUUAGGCACAUUCAAAAGCGUGAUGCCAAAGAGGGUUUAAAAAUACAGAGAAUCCUCCUGUCACAAAAUACUUCCCAGGAUAGUUUAACACAGUGCAAAGAAGCUACCAGAAAGUACAUCUUGUACCAGUUGGGCAUUAAUUUGUACUGUUAUAAACAACUGAGUUUUAUUGAGAAAAUAGUAAUGAGAAAUAAAUGCCUGCUAUAAAAUGUG